AAGUCGUAACAAGGUUUCCGUAGGUGAACCUGCGGAAGGAUCAUUACCAAAAUGUAGCUGUCUGGCCGCAAGGCCCUGACGCUUCAACCCUUUGUGAACCAAAAAACCUUUCGCUUCGGCAGCCGCUCCGGUUGGGAACGACCGCGGGUGUCAGCCUGCCGCUAGCACCAACCUUCAAAACUUGCGGUCAAACAUUGUCUGAAUGCCAAAUUUUCGAAUGAAAAUCAAAACUUUCAACAACGGAUCUCUUGGUUCCC
rnacentral:misc_RNA from 1 species